UACGGAGGGUGCGAGCGUUGUCCGGAAUCACUGGGCGUAAAGAGCGCGUAGGCGGCUCGUUAAGUGUAGAGUGAAAUCUCUGGGCUCACCCCAGAAACUGCUCUGCAUACUGGCGAGCUUGAGUGAUGAAGAGGUUUGUGGAAUUCCUGGUGUAACGGUGAAAUGUGUUGAUAUCAGGAGGAACACCCAUGGCGAAGGCAGCAAACUGGUCAUCAACUGACGCUGAGGCGCGAAAGCGUGGGUAGCAAACAGG
rnacentral:rRNA from 1 species